GAAUUUGGGAUCGCUCAUAUCUGUGACUUCUUUUUCUUCGUCCGUUUCGUGAAUCACUGAGUCCUGCAUCAACCCCUUCGUCCUUCUUCGGUCUCGUCACUCUUGACUCCUCAGAGAAGUGCAAUUGUAAGCCUCCGAUGCGUUUUGUUUUCUCAAAAUUCAUUGUGGUGAAGGGAGGUGAGAGGGAAUAAAUGGGUGUGAAGAGAGUGAUUUGAGUCUGUGUAUUGUAGUGUGCGUGCGACUCUGUGCAUCUAGCUUUGCUUUGUAAGAUAUGAGUGAGUGAGAGAGAGUGCCAUGUUAUUCAAUUUCUGUUCAUUUCAUUCGGUAGAGUAGAAGUUGUGGUUUUUCCUAUUUUGGGGCAAAUUGUAGUAUGCCCAAGUUCGACUUGCAGUUGUUACAGUGAUCUUAGUUAUGGCUGUAGCUUUGUUUAAUACCUACAAAAAUGAUUAGGGU
rnacentral:lncRNA from 1 species